GGCCGCGUCGACCAGUUGGAAACGACUGCUAAUACCGCAUAAGCCCACGGUGUCGCAUGGCACAGCGGGAAAAGGAUUUAUUCGCUUCAGGAUGGACUCGCGUCCAAUUAGCUAGUUGGUGAGGUAACGGCCCACCAAGGCGACGAUUGGUAGCCGGACUGAGAGGUUGAACGGCCACAUUGGGACUGAGACACGGCCCAGACUCCUACGGGAGGCAGCAGUGGGGGAUAUUGCACAAUGGGGGAAACCCUGAUGCAGCGACGCCGCGUGGAGGAAGAAGGUUUUCGGAUUGUAAACUCCUGUCGUACGGGACGAUAAUGACGGUACCGUACAAGAAAGCCACGGCUAACUACGUGCCAGCAGCGUCGACGCGGCCGUCCCAAGUAGUGGUGAGCGAACGGGAAACAGCCUAAACCAGAGGUUUUUACUCUGGGGUCGUGGGACAAUCACCAGCGAACCUUAAGCUAGACAAAGCAGUUGAAAGCUGCACCAGAGAAGGUGAAAGUCCUGUAGUCGAAAGUAGAGAGGACGCGAUUGUAUCCCGAGUAGCACCGGGG
rnacentral:rRNA from 1 species